GAUCCUGGCUCAGAUUGAACGCUAGCGGGAUGCUUUACACAUGCAAGUCGAACGGCAGCACGAGAGAGCUUGCUCUCUUGGUGGCGAGUGGCGGACGGGUGAGUAAUAUAUCGGAACGUGCCCAGUAGCGGGGGAUAACUACUCGAAAGAGUGGCUAAUACCGCAUACGCCCUACGGGGGAAAGGGGGGGAUCGCAAGACCUCUCACUAUUGGAGCGGCCGAUAUCGGAUUAGCUAGUUGGGGUAAAGGCUCACCAAGGCAACGAUCCGUAGCUGGUUUGAGAGGACGACCAGCCACACUGGGACUGAGACACGGCCCAGACUCCUACGGGAGGCAGCAGUGGGGAAUUUUGGACAAUGGGGGAAACCCUGAUCCAGCCAUCCCGCGUGUAUGAUGAAGGCCUUCGGGUUGUAAAGUACUUUUGGCAGAGAAGAAAAGGCAUCCCCUAAUACGGGAUGCUGCUGACGGUAUCUGCAGAAUAAGCACCGGCUAACUACGUGCCAGCAGCCGCGGUAAUACGUAGGGUGCAAGCGUUAAUCGGAAUUACUGGGCGUAAAGCGUGUGUAGGCGGUUCGGAAAGAAAGAUGUGAAAUCCCAGGGCUCAACCUUGGAACUGCAUUUUUAACUGCCGAGCUAGAGUAUGUCAGAGGGGGGUAGAAUUCCACGUGUAGCAGUGAAAUGCGUAGAUAUGUGGAGGAAUACCGCGAAGGCAGCCUCCUGGGAUAAUACUGACGCUCAGACACGAAAGCGUGGGGAGCAAACAGGAUUAGAUACCCUGGUAGUCCACGCCCUAAACGAUGUCAACUAGCUGUUGGGGCCGUUAGGCCUUAGUAGCGCAGCUAACGCGUGAAGUUGACCGCCUGGGGAGUACGGUCGCAAGAUUAAAACUCAAAGGAAUUCGGGGACCCGCACAAGCGGUGGAUGAUGUGGAUUAAUUCGAUGCAACGCGAAAAACCUUACCUACCCUUGACAUGUCUGGAAAGAAGAGAUUUGGCCGUGCUCGCAAGAGAACCGGAACACAGGUGCUGCAUGGCUGUCGUCAGCUCGUGUCGUGAGAUGUUGGGUUAAGUCCCGCAACGAGCGCAACCCUUGUCAUUAGUUGCUACGCAAGAGCACUCUAAUGAGACUGCCGGUGACAAACCGGAGGAAGGUGGGGAUGACGUCAAGUCCUCAUGGCCCUUAUGGGUAGGGCUUCACACGUCAUACAAUGGUCGGGACAGAGGGUCGCCAACCCGCGAGGGGGAGCCAAUCUCAGAAACCCGAUCGUAGUCCGGAUCGCAGUCUGCAACUCGACUGCGUGAAGUCGGAAUCGCUAGUAAUCGCGGAUCAGAAUGUCGCGGUGAAUACGUUCCCGGGUCUUGUACACACCGCCCGUCACACCAUGGGAGUGGGUUUCACCAGAAGUAGGUAGCCUAACCGCAAGGAGGGCGCUUACCACGGUGGGAUUCAUGACUGGGGUGAAGUCGUAACAAA
rnacentral:rRNA from 1 species